GUGUCAGUUUGCUGAGAAUGAUGGUUUCCAGGUUCAUCCAAGUCCCUACAAAGGACACAAACUCAUCAUUUUUAUGGCUGCAUAAUAUUCCAUGGUGUAUAUGUGCCAUAUUUUCCCCAUCCAGUCUAUCAUCAAUAGGCAUUUGGGUUGGUUCCAAGUCUUUGCUAUUG